rnacentral:misc_RNA from 1 species
AAGUCGUAACAAGGUUUCCGUAGCUCAAGUCUACGAUUGAACAGCAAUGUUCCUUCCGCAGAGUACACUUGCAGAAGCCUUAGUGGCCCGAAAGGGUUUCACCAGCGACUCUAAACAACUAGGUGGAUUAAACGCUAGUCUCCGCUCCGGAGGCAACACUAUCAAAUUGCGGGAAGAUCCUGUCAAGUCCACAUCACCGCGGCUCACCGAAAGGUGCAGCGUCAGCACCAGGUUAACAACCUUGGGUAAGGUAAUAGCAUGUGGGAUAGGGAGAAUCCGCAGCCAAGCCCCUACAUCUUGGGGUGCAGUUCACAGGCCAAAUGGUAGUGGGCAUCUAAUUGGUGCUUAAGAUAUGGUCGAGUCCCAAUUGCAAAGUUGGGUACAAGUACUCUGAGAGUUUUGUUAAAUGCAAAUGUUCCGUAGGUGAACCUGCGGAAGGAUCAUUAAUGAAUUUCAAGUCGGCCGUCUGUGCUGGUGGAAACACAUGUGCACGUCGGUCGCAAAUCCACACACCUGUGCACCUUUGACUUUGGGAUCCGCCGGUCUUUUGACUAGCAGCAGGUCGGCUCUGUGCCGUCCUGGGGUCCCAGAGUAAUUUUACACACUCUUGAAUGUAAUGGAAUGUCUCUAUGCUUAAUGCGCAAAUAUACAA